ACUAAAGCCAGUAUUUAUGCAGGGUCGAGAACAAAGCAAACAUGCUUCAUCUCAAUAUAUUUAUUCCCUGUGAAAUUUCUCCUAGAAUUAUGUAGGAUGAGACAAAGCUAGAGAAACUGUACUCUUCAAGAGGAAAAGAGAUGGCCCUGCCAGACAGAACCAAGUGAAAUCAACUCUCACCUCAAAUAUUGGUCCAACUCCAACAAACUUGUCUUGGAUCAGAGCCACUGCUGAGGGGAACCACAAUGACUUACUCAAGAUCAAUGGAAAAGCUUCGUCAACAGCACCUAAGAUGCUCAUAGUCACAGGCUUGAGAUAACCCUUGGUUAUGUCGCUUAGAUUCCUUCUGUCA
rnacentral:lncRNA from 1 species